ACUUCAAACUUAGUACACAUUGGUAUAGCUCAACCAGAAAAUAGUUUUAUAUAUUUAAUUAAUUAACUAUUCCUUGUAGAACUGAUUUCACAUUCCAUUUUCCAGCCCCAUAGAGAGAGACCAAGAGAAAUAAUAUCAAAUUUGAAUUAACAGGAAUUUUGAGUACAACCGGUGCUCCCUGCACCUCCUACUUACAUACAUGUACACAUAACACUUACUAUAUAUGUAAUGCAUACCAAUAUCAAAUUCUAAUUAACUUAAAAGCAAUGGAAUAGCCAACAUUUUUGAACAUUCACACCUUUGUUUCCGGAUGAUCACCGGACUAUUCCAAACGGAGUCGGUAACCAAUCAAUGAUAUCAAUCUCUGCAUUUUGACGAGCUUUCAACAUCUAUUCAAUGUAAUCCACAAGCAACACAAAAACUUAAAACUAACACAUUCACAUUUAUAUGAACACAAAUAAACCACAAUUUACAUGCAUAAAAUCAUAAGUCAGAAAUAAACCAUAAUUUAAUCUUUCAAUACUUCUCCCUUGUCCUCGCCCUCGCCCUUGCCCCUCGGUUGCUCAUCAUCAGAACCUGAAAUUAGAAGAGAAACCAAAUCGUACAGUCAGAACCUUACCUGAAAUUAGAAGAGAAUUAGAAGAGAAGGAGAGGGAGCCUGAAACCUAGAGCGGUGGAGGCACCAUGGUCAAUUUGUCUCAUGACCUCGGUUAAAUGUUCCAUUUUCUGCACCACCUCAUCCAUGUCUUUUGAGAUAGAGUAUAGUUGAUUCCGGCGUUGAUCCAGGGCCAAUAGUAUCAGAGCAAAUGCAAGGACGGAGGUAGAGGCGGCCGCAUAACCUCUAGUUUGCUGAAAGGGUGGGUAACCGGCAGAACGUUUUAGUCGCGGGUAGGCGGCAGCAACACGUUUCAACAUUACUAGGAGCUUAGUCAUGGCGAAGGAGAAGGGGAGAGGGGAAAGUUUGGCUGAGUUUUUAACAGCCACAGGAAAAAGAGGAAGACGGCGAUGGUGGAGGAAGGAGGAGGAGGAAGAAUAGGCGAUAAUAAAAGAGAAGAGUUAGGGUUUCAACACCGUUGUUUAUCGGAAC
rnacentral:lncRNA from 1 species